GACGAACGCUGGCGGCGUGCUUAACACAUGCAAGUCGAACGGAAAGGCCCUGCUUGCGUGCGGUGCCCGAUUGGCGAUCGGGUGAGUAACACGUGAGUAACCUGCCCUUGACUUUGGUAUAACUUCAGGUAACUGGGGCUACUACCGGAUAGCAGCUGCUGCUGCAUGGUGAGGGGUGGAAAUUUUCGGCGGGUGGGGAUGGACUCGCGGCUUAUGAGCUUGUUGGUGGGGUAGUGGCUUACCCAGGAUGUGGCGGGUAGCCGGCCUGUGAGGGUGAACGGGCACAUUGGGACUGAGAUACGGACCAGACGCCUACGGGAGGCAGCAGGGGGGAAUAUUGCCCAAUGGGAGGAAGCCUGAUGCAGCAACGCCGCGUGCGGGAUGACGGCCUUCGGGGUGUAAACCGCUUUCGCCUGUGACGAAGCGUGAGUGACGGUAAUGGGUAAAGAAGCACCGGCUAACUACGUG
rnacentral:rRNA from 1 species